GCCUCUGCUUCACCGAAUUCUGAUGGAUCCCUGCCCACUCUGCUUGGCCUGUGCCCCUCCUGGCACCAUCUGCCUGAGCCUGGGCUGGCGCUCUGUCAGCCUUUGCAACACAGCUAUGAGACUUGGAAAGCUGGAGUUUGGUUUAGCAGAGAAAUGCAUUUGAAAUCUUCCCUCUAGGCCCCCCUCUUUCUGUUCCCCCUCCUCACCUCCCUCCAGGACCAAUUUAUCUGCCAGUCCAGCCUCCAAGAGGAGCUGGGGCCAAGUUGGAGACCUGCUUAUGCUUGUCAGCCUCUGUGGCCAGAUGACAAGAGAGCAGCCCACAGCUGGGAGAGGACUGGGAAGUCCCCGUGUGCAGAGCGUGCUUAACAGGGGGGCGGGCAGGUCAGAAGCUUCCCCCUGGCUGCAAAGGAGGUGUGGAGGACACAAGGGCUCCACGCCUAUUUCUAGCUCCUGCCUUCUCUGCAGAGUUCCAGGCCUGUGUUUGGCUCUAUCUACUUGGAAGACUCACAGGUUCUUCAAAACCAACCAACGUGAAGCCAGUUUGUCCUGACUUUUACCCCAAACCUGAUGACUGCUUCAUCCCCUGUCUUGAGAAGUCUCCACUGCCCACCCAUUGUCUAAACCAUGGUUGUGCUGGAGGUUUUGAAGAGUGAGACUUUGGCCCCAGGUCUCCUGCCUGAGAGCUGCGUAAACCUAGAGCCUUGUCUCACAGAGCCCCUGUUCCCACAGCAUUAAAGUGGAGAUGACAGAGUCCCUCCUGGAGAGCCGGUCUAGCCAUUCAGUGAGUCAGCAGCACAGCUCCUCCAGCACGCAGAGAACAGCGGUCCAUGGAGGGAGGGCGUGAGCCUGGGGUUUUACUGAGGAAGGAGAGUGGGUUUUUCAGUCCCUGAAGCUGCUGCUCUGCCCACUCAGGAAGGUGAGGAAGGCAGACGACAGCGUACAUCCAGCCUCUGCUCGAGGAAGAGGAGGAAGACCGAAGGGGGAGAGAGAAAAACAGAGGCAGAGAGGAGGAAAGAGCAGUGAAGGCUGUGACCAGAUUCUCCUGAGGGACAUGAACCACCUGACUGGGUUCUCUAAUGUGGGCACCUGCCGCUGGCUUGUGUGUUUGGACUUCUGCUUCCGGUGGCAUCUUCUCUGGCUGGCUGGUAUCUUCCGAAUGCUGACUUCUGUGGACUGAGAGGUCUUGCACCCCAGUUUCCCCUUCCCAAGGAAGUGACAAGGGAGAACUGGGCUUUGCCUCUGUCUCUGGGCCAGGGUCGUUGAUGCCCUUUGGAAUGGAGAGCUGUGAAGGGGAAUGCCUAGGCCUCACAGAGGAGGCUCGUGACCCGGACAGGUGUGGGACUAGGGGCCAUGUCUGUAGCUCCCCUGCCACGGAGCAGAAUCUGCCUCUCCAUAAGCGUUAAGCUCUGGGGACUGUGACAUCCACGCUGGGCCUGGCUCCUGCCUUCCGCCUCCUGCCCAGCCCCUGCCAGCAGCACAUGGUGGAGACCGGGGUGGUUUGUUAUUCAGCAAUGGAUAAUUAGAGCACUGACUCACCUUGAUGGGCCUCAUCAUCAUUCAUCCAGAAAUCUUUUAUUGAGAAAAAUAAUAUUUGCCAUGUUGUGCAAGGAGUUGGGGUUGCAAAGCUGGGUGCUGUGAUCUAUAACACAAGGCAGCAGGAUUGUCUGACCUCCGAGAGCCAUGUGCCCUGGGAUCAUCUGGCCACAGUUAUCUCACAGAAUUCCUAAUGCACAGUCUGUGUGGGAGGUGAUGCCGGAGUCCCCCCUCCCUCUGGGCUCCUCCCCGUGCUCUGCUCACAUCACUGGGGGGUU
rnacentral:lncRNA from 10 species